CACGCCGCAGAGUAGAGGGCCUGGUCACCAGACCUGAAGGUGAUGUUCCUCUCUCUCUCAGCAGCUGCUGGACCUCCUGAGUCAUCCAGGGCUUCUGGUUGGGUAGACCUGGAUCCAUUUUUCCACAGUAACAGAUUUGCUGAGCUGUGCCACUUGAAGACCAAAGAAUCAGACAACACUUCAUAAAGGUAUGAGACCAGGUUAGCAAAUGUGGACGUUCUAGUGAUGAAAACUAGACAUCAUCCUAACCAGUUUUUGAAUCAGUAGAUGUUGUUGAAGAUGUUGAACUUUAUAGAGACAGUGUGAUAUAUUAGCCCAUUGUUUUUUCUAUACAACUAUCUCACCUACACCUGAAUAAGGUGUUUCUCUCUCCCCAUCAACAAGUGCAACUCUGGCAGAGCAGGCUAUGGAGCAUGCUGCAGAGAUUGAAUCAGGAAUGAC